rnacentral:rRNA from 1 species
GGGAGUGAAAAAGAACCUGAAACCGUGUACGUACAAGCAGUGGGAGCACCCUUUGGGGUGUGACUGCGUACCUUUUGUAUAAUGGGUCAGCGACUUAUAUUCUGUAGCAAGGUUAACCGCAUAGGGGAGCCGGAGGGAAACCGAGUCUUAAUUGGGCGUUAAGUUGCAGGGUAUAGACCCGAAACCCGGUGAUCUAGCCAUGGGCAGGUUGAAGGUUGGGUAACACUAACUGGAGGACCGAACCGACUAAUGUUGAAAAAUUAGCGGAUGACCUGUGGCUGGGGGUGAAAGGCCAAUCAAACCGGGAGAUAGCUGGUUCUCCCCGAAAGCUAUUUAGGUAGCGCCUCGUGAAUUCAUCUCCGGGGGUAGAGCACUGUUUCGGCUAGGGGGCCAUCCCGGCUUACCAACCCGAUGCAAACUGCGAAUACCGGAGAAUGUUAUCACGGGAGACACACGGCGGGUGCUAACGUCCGUCGUGAAGAGGGAAACAACCCAGACCGCCAGCUAAGGUCCCAAAGUCAUGGUUAAGUGGGAAACGAUGUGGGAAGGCCCAGACAGCCAGGAUGUUGGCUUAGAAGCAGCCAUCAUUUAAAGAAAGCGUAAUAGCUCACUGGUCGAGUCGGCCUGCGCGGAAGAUGUAACGGGGCUAAACCAUG